GUCCAGACUCCUACGGGAGGCAGCAGUGGGGGAUAUUGCACAAUGGGGGAAACCCUGAUGCAGCGACGCCGCGUGAGUGAAGAAGUAUUUCGGUAUGUAAAGCUCUAUCAGCAGGGAAGAAAAUGACGGUACCUGACUAAGAAGCCCCGGCUAACUACGUGCCAGCAGCCGCGGUAAUACGUAGGGGGCAAGCGUUAUCCGGAUUUACUGGGUGUAAAGGGAGCGUAGACGGCAUGGCAAGUCAGAUGUGAAAGCCCGGGGCUCAACCCCGGGACUGCAUUUGAAACUGUCAGGCUGGAGUGCAGGAGAGGUAAGUGGAAUUCCUAGUGUAGCGGUGAAAUGCGUAGAUAUUAGGAGGAACACCAGUGGCGAAGGCGGCUUACUGGACUGUAACUGACGUUGAGGCUCGAAAGCGUGGAGAGCAAACAGGAUUAGAUACCCCCGUAU
rnacentral:rRNA from 1 species